CUACCGGCGUCGAGAGGCGCGGGGAUGAGCGCCCAGAAGUCAGCAGAGGUCAUAGUAGGUCCCUCGACCGGACUGAAGGAC
rnacentral:ncRNA from 1 species